UUUACUCAUAGGCUUCUCGCACGAGUGUUUGAGUUUCUGUGCAACCCCAAAGCCUGCAGUGCCCUGCUCUUUAGAGAGGAAGAACCACAGUCAUCAAGUGAGCAUGGACGAAGUAGAAUCAUCAGGGUAUGACGAUCCGCACGCACAUCUGUCGUAACGUGCAUAGGGAUGGCUUAAUGACUGAUACACCACAAAUCCAGAAAGUGCCAGCGACCCCUUAAAGGACGUAUCUACUAAAAACAUCCAGAGAGCUUGCCCAGCUGCCGAUCUGGGACUUUUGGUAGAACCCCACCAGGCCACUCAAUCCACGCAAGAAAUUGAAACAAGCAGCAGAGAUUGGGGGAAAUGUGCUGAAGGUGGCAGUCAAGUGGGGUCCAUUGAGGCACCACUUCUGCUGAUGUCUUCUACCAUCUUCCUGGAGUCUUCUGCCGUCUUCCUGGCCAAACUUGGAGCACUCCCAACCCUCCUCUGAGCUAGGAGUCAUUAAGCUGUUUUGGCUAGAUCCUCCAUGGACAUGUAGCAGAGUAUUUAUAUCCCACCUGCUUUUUUUCCCUAAUGUCAACAACUCAACUGACUUUGGUGUUUUCUUUGCUGCAUUAGAAGAAGUCAGUUUCUCUUAUGGACAGGAAGGUGACCUUCUCUUGAAUAAAAUACAUUUUUC
rnacentral:lncRNA from 1 species